UACGAAGGGGGCUAGCGUUGCUCGGAAUUACUGGGCGUAAAGGGCGCGUAGGCGGCUCUGUUAGUCAGGCGUGAAAGUCCUGGGCUCAACCGUGGAAGUGCACUCGAAACUGCAUAGCUAGAGUCCUGGAGAGGAAGGUGGAAUGCUUGGUGUAGAGGUGAAAUUCGUAGAUAUCAAGCGGAACACCGGUGGCGAAGGCGGCCUUCUGGACAGUGACUGACGCUGAGACGCGAAAGCGUGGGGAGCAAACAGG
rnacentral:rRNA from 1 species